UGGGGCCAUAAUCUAAUAGGAUUGGUGGCCUUAUAAGAAGAAAAAGAGAGGGAACUCUCUCUCUGUCUCUCUGCCUCUCCCUCCCUCCCUCCAUGUACACAGACUGAGGAGAGGCCAUGUGAGGACACAGUGAGACAGUGACCAUUUGCAAGACAGGAAGAGAGCUGUCACCAGAACCUGAACCCUGCAGGAACCUUGAUCUUGGACUUUCCAGCCUCCCGAACUAUGAGUUGGCCUAAAAGAAAGGACAGUCCAGUAGCAACAAGCACACCCAGUACGAAGAUCUUGGUUUGUAAUACCAUUCUCUGCUAAAAGGAGUCGGAUUCCUCGGAGAAAGGACUGAUCGUAGGACUGCAGCAAGAAAUACCCAAGAUGAGCCUGGAGCAUCUUGUGGUGCCAGGAAGUAAGGAAGUGCUCAAAGGUUUUAUCAGCUCCAACUUCAGAGAAGAGCUCCAUAUAGAUGUCCUCAGCCAGAAGGGACAAGAACAGAUGAAUGACUUUCUUCACGCUUCUUGUUGGGUGAAUCAGUCAUGCUCCAGGGUCAUGUUAAGUUUGCCACUUUUGUAUAAAAUCACUUAAUAAAUUGAUUGGCACCUUA
rnacentral:lncRNA from 1 species